CAUCAAUACUAUCUUACAGGUGCUCAGGACGGCAGUGUACGAAUGUUUGAAUGGACGCGGCCUCAGCAACUUGUCUGCUUUCGUCAAGCUGGCAAUGCAAGAGUUACUAGAUUAUAUUUUAAUUCACAAGGCAACAAGUGUGGUGUUGCGGAUGGAGAGGGUUUUCUGAGUAUCUGGCAAGUUAACCAAACUGCAUCAAAUCCUAAACCUUAUAUGAGUUGGCAGUGCCACAGUAAAGCCACAAGUGACUUUGCAUUUAUUACCUCUUCAAGUCUAGUUGCCACAUCUGGACACUCCAAUGACAAUAGGUAGGUUGACAGAAAAGCAAAGUAAGAAAUAUAAAAACGUUAGAAAUCCAUACCUUUAGCAAGAAUACUUUUCUAUUAGUAGGGUUUUUCCACUCUAGGCAUUAAAAAAAAAAACUUUGUUACAUAAUUCUUAUUUCAGAGUGUUUUUUCUUACCAAAAAGAGAAAAGCAAAAAUGAAAGUUAUUCCUAAUAUAUGUAAUUUUUAUUUUAAAGCUAUUCAGUCUUUUUUAAACUACUACUGUUAACACUGUUAGUUUCUCUAGGACUAACAGGCAUCUGAUAUUGUCUCCAUCAUUCUCAAC
rnacentral:lncRNA from 1 species